rnacentral:rRNA from 1 species
UACAGAGGUCUCAAGCGUUGUUCGGAUUCAUUGGGCGUAAAGGGUGCGUAGGCGGCGCGGUAAGUCGGGUGAUGAAACUCUUGGAGCUUAACUCCGAAACUGCAUUCGAUACUGCCGUGCUUGAGGACUGGAGAGGAGACUGGAAUUUACGGUGUAGCGGUGAAAUGCGUAGAUAUCGUAAGGAAGACCGAGUGGACGAA